rnacentral:rRNA from 1 species
GAUUCCCCUAGUAACUGCGAGUGAAGAGGGAAGAGCUCAAAUUUAAAAUCUGGCGGUCUCUGGCUGUCCGAGUUGUAAAUUAGAGAAGUGUUAUCCGCUCAAGCCUGUGCAAAAGUCUCUUGGAAAAGGGCAUCAUAGAGGGUGACAAUCCCGUCUUUGGCACAGAUCACUUGCGCUUUUGUGAUGCGCUCUCGAUGAGUCGAGUUGUUUGGGAAUGCAGCUCUAAAUGGGUGGUAAAUUCCAUCUAAAGCUAAAUAUGGGCGAGAAACCGAUAGCGAACAAGUACCGUGAGGGAAAGAUGAAAAGCACUUUGAAAAGAGAGUCAAACAGUAUGUGAAAUUGUUGAAAGGGAAACGCUUGAAGUCAGUCGUAUCCUUCAGAAAUCAACCUGACCUUUGGCUGGGUGCAUUUUUUGUUGGAUGGGUCAGCAUCAAUUUUGAUCAUUGGAUAAAGGACUUGGGAAUGUGGCAUCUUUGGAUGUGUUAUAGCCUCUGUUUGUAUACAAUGAUUGGGAUUGAGGAACUCAGUGUGACUUUGGUUUGGAGGUAUUGCACCUCACACACGCACUUAGGAUGCUGGCAUAAUGGCUUUAAUCGACCCGUCUUGAAACACGGACCAAGGAGUCUAACAUGCAUGCGAGUGUUUGGGUGGAAAACUCAAGCGCGCAAUGAAAGUGAAAGUUGAGAACCCCUUUGGGGUGCAUCGACGCCCGGACUUGAUCUUUUGUGACGGACCUGCGGUAGAGCAUGUAUGUUGGGACCCGAAAGAUGGUGAACUAUGCCUGAUAGGGUGAAGUCAGAGGAAACUCUGAUGGAAGCUCGUAGCGAUUCUGACGUGCAAUCGAUCGUCAAUUUGGGUAUAGGGGCGAAAGACUAAUCGAACCAUCUAGUAGCU